GCGUGAGUGAUGAAGGCCUUAGGGUUGUAAAGCUCUUUCGGCGGGGACGAUGAUGACGGUACCCGCAGAAGAAGCCCCGGCUAACUUCGUGCCAGCAGCCGCGGUAAUACGAAGGGGGCAAGCGUUGUUCGGAAUUACUGGGCGUAAAGGGCGCGCAGGCGGCGGACGUAGUCAGGCGUGAAAGCCCCGGGCUUAACCUGGGAAUUGCGUUUGAUACUCGUCUGCUGGAGUUCGGGAGAGGUUGGUGGAAUUCCCAGUGUAGAGGUGAAAUUCGU
rnacentral:rRNA from 1 species